GUUCUGCCCACAGGUGUUUCUGUAGGAUCUUAGGAGGCCAGGCCACCUUAUCUGCCAGCACUUUCCAUGCCUGCCCAGAGCUUUCCUGAACCCUCAGAGGAAAGGUCUCAUCUGUGACCAACUGGACUUGGUAUCUGUCAUUGUCACAGACAAACUGCAGCUCUUGCCAUUUCCCUGCUCUCUUUGAAGUCUCAGAGCCACCCCCAGGGUGGUGACUCUAUGAGAACCUCAGGGCAGACAGCACAGCCUCUACCAGGAUGCUUGGAAAAGAAGCAUCAUCUCCCGGGCUGCCGGGGCGGCCCCAGAACACACCCCACCCAGCCCAUCUGCCAGACCCUGCCCACCCCCAUUCCCUGUCCAUUCUUGACAAAAGGAUCUCUGCACUUACAAUGAUUGGUGUAUUUCUUGUCCCUUUGGGAUUCCCAGUAAGCCAGGGAGUAGAAGCGUCUUGAGUGUUCAGAGGACUGCGCCCCUUUCCCUACACGUGUUGAGUGUCUGAGAAUAAAUGAUGAAGUCUCCUUGCAGCUCCGCUGUGUCCCAAGGAUGACUGAGAACACUUCUCACUGCAUCUCAUUACAGCCCAUGAAUUGGCGGUUUCAUCUGAAAGCGCUGUUUUUCAUGCGCAGAACGGGUGCAGUCUCAGAAAGGACUUGUGACUGCUCACUCCUAAUGUGGGGGACUCUAGUCUCUGAGUAUUGAUCUAUAAAGAGCAGCCCAGCCGCCCCACCACCACCACCACCAAAUCCUUUAAAGCAAACACUUAUAUAAGGCGGAGAAUCACCUCACAUGUUACAAACUAUUACUUCCUUACCUUCUUCACACUCUCCCAGGGGCAAUUUCACAAAUCCCAUUUUUAAGAUGAAUAUAUAACAUAGUUUGUCACAGCCCUGCUCUUUUGUGACUGUCCCCUGGGUAGCACAACAGCUCUGUAAAACCAUCCUAGCUGGAGCAACACUGGCUGAGCUUGGGUCACAUUCGUAUCUGGAAGGGAGCAGGAAUGUUCAGUUUUGGGAAUUGUCUAUCUGCUGUUGCUUACCUGUGUUAAUGUAGGCCUGUCACCUUGGCUGUGGGCACUGGGUUUGAACACAGAGCUGAGAGAGAGAGGCUCCUGUGAGCCAUGCUUGACACUCCUGGAGCACAGAGAAAUGGGUCACACUGUCACACGGCACCUGUUGCACAACUGGGGCAGUCCUUGCUUCCUGCUUGCUAUCCCACAGGAAUCUGUCCUCCUAGCUUCCUUUGCCUCUUAACGAGUCCCAAAUCCACAAGAUGUACAAAUGUAAACUUGUUGAUUUUAUUAAAAUUCUUCUAAUUCUU
rnacentral:lncRNA from 1 species